GUAGGUGGCAAGCGUUGUCCGGAAUUAUUGGGCGUAAAGCGCGCGCAGGCGGUUCUUUAAGUCUGAUGUGAAAGCCCACGGCUCAACCGUGGAGGGUCAUUGGAAACUGGAGAACUUGAGUACAGAAGAGGAAAGCGGAAUUCCACGUGUAGCGGUGAAAUGCGUAGAGAUGUGGAGGAACACCAGUGGCGAAGGCGGCUUUCUGGUCUGUAACUGACGCUGAGGCGCGAAAGCGUGGGGAGCAAACAGGGAUUAGAUACCCUGGUAGUCCACGCCGUAAACGAUGAGUGCUAAGUGUUAGGGGGGUUUCCGCCCCCUUAGUGCUGCAGCUAACGCAUUAAAGCACUCCGCCUGGGGAGUACGGCCGCAAGGCUG
rnacentral:rRNA from 1 species